rnacentral:tRNA from 1 species
GCCUUUGUGGCCCAAUGGAUAAGGCACUGGCCUCUUAAACCGCAGAUAGCAGGUUUCAUUCCUGUCAAAAGUA